rnacentral:rRNA from 1 species
UACGGAGGAUGCGAGCGUUAUCCGGAUUCAUUGGGUUUAAAGGGUGCGUAGGCGGACUGAUAAGUCAGUGGUGAAAACCUGCAGCUUAACUGUAGAACUGCCAUUGAUACUGUCAGACUUGAGUAUGGUCAAGGUAGGCGGAAUGUGUAAUGUAGCGGUGAAAUGCUUAGAUAUUACACAGAACACCGAUUGCGAAGGCAGCUUGCUGGGCCAUUACUGACGCUGAUGCACGAAAGCGUGGGGAGCAAACAGG